GAUGAACGCUGGCGGCGUGCCUAAUACAUGCAAGUCGAGCGAACGGACGAGAAGCUUGCUUCUCUGAUGUUAGCGGCGGACGGGUGAGUAACACGUGGAUAACCUACCUAUAAGACUGGGAUAACUUCGGGAAACCGGAGCUAAUACCGGAUAAUAUUUUGAACCGCAUGGUUCAAAAGUGAAAGACGGUCUUGCUGUCACUUAUAGAUGGAUCCGCGCUGCAUUAGCUAGUUGGUAAGGUAACGGCUUACCAAGGCAACGAUGCAUAGCCGACCUGAGAGGGUGGUCAGCCAAACUGGAACUGAGACACGGUCCAGACUCCUACGGGAGGCAGCAGUAGGGAAUCUUCCGCAAUGGGCGAAAGCCUGACGGAGCAACGCCGCGUGAGUGAUGAAGGUCUUCGGAUCGUAAAACUCUGUUAUUAGGGAAGAACAUAUGUGUAAGUAACUGUGCACAGCUUGACGGUACCUAAUCAGAAAGCCACGGCUAGCUACGUG
rnacentral:rRNA from 1 species